rnacentral:rRNA from 1 species
CCUACGGGAGGCUGCAGUAGGGAAUCUUCCACAAUGGACGAAAGUCUGAUGGAGCAACGCCGCGUGUGUGAUGAAGGGUUUCGGCUCGUAAAACACUGUUGUAAGAGAAGAAUGACAUUGAGAGUAACUGUUCAGUGUGCGACGGUAUCUUACCAGAAAGGAACGGCUAAAUACGUGCCAGCAGCCGCGGUAAUACGUAUGUUCCAAGCGUUAUCCGGAUUUAUUGGGCGUAAAGCGAGCGCAGACGGUGAAGUAAGUCCGAAGUGAAAGCCCACGGCUUAACUGAGGGAGUGCUUUAGAAACUGGAAAACUUGAGUGCAGUAGAGGAGAGUGGAACUCCAUGUGUAGCGGUGAAAUGCGUAGAUUUAUGGAAGAAAGCCAGUGGCGAAGGCGGCUCUCUGGACUGUAACUGACGUUGAGGCUCGAAAGUUUGGGUAGCAAACAGGAUUAGAAACCCUAGAAGUC